rnacentral:tRNA from 1 species
AAAAAUUUAGUUAAGUUAUAACAUUAGUUUGUCAUUCUAAAA